GUAGGUGGCAAGCGUUGUCCGGAAUUAUUGGGCGUAAAGCGCGCGCAGGCGGUUCUUUAAGUCUGAUGUGAAAGCCCACGGCUCAACCGUGGAGGGUCAUUGGAAACUGGAGAACUUGAGUACAGAAAAGGAAAGCGGAAUUCCACGUGUAGCGGUGAAAUGCGUAGAGAUGUGGAGGAACACCAGUGGCGAAGGCGGCUUUCUGGUCUGUAACUGACGCUGAGGCGCGAAAGCGUGGGGAGCAAACAGGGAUUAGAUACCCUGGUAGUCCACGCCGUAAACGAUGAGUGCUAAGUGUUAGGGGGGUUUCCGCCCCCUUAGUGCUGCAGCUAACGCAUUAAGCACUCCGCCUGGGGAGUACGGCCGCAAGGCUG
rnacentral:rRNA from 1 species